rnacentral:misc_RNA from 1 species
UCAAACUUGGUCAUUUAGAGGAAGUAAAAGUCGUAACAAGGUUUCCGUAGGUGAACCUGCGGAAGGAUCAUUUGAGAUUGCACCUUUGGUGCACCUCAUCUUCACACCUGUGCACUGUGUCGGGCUGCGGUCCAUCUGGGCCAAAGCCUGUUUUUAUACCCACUCAUAUGUUUUUGUGAAAGUAUCAUUGAAUAAAAAAUACAACUUUCAACAAUGGAUCUCUUGGCUCUCGCAUCGAUGAAGAACGCAGC